AUUGAACGCUGGCGGCAGGCCUAACACAUGCAAGUCGAGCGGAUGAAGGGUGCUUGCUCGUGGAUACAGCGGGGGAGGGGUGGGUGAUGCCUAGGAAUCUGCCUGGUUGUGUGUUAGAACGGCCUGACGCGGGCGCUAAUACCGCAUACGUCCAUAGGGAGUAAGGGGGGGAGCAUGGGACCUUAGGCUAUCAGAUGAGUCUAUGUCGGAUUAGCUAGUUGGUGGGGUAAAGGCCUACCAAGGCGACGAUCCGUAACUGGUCUGAGAGGAUGAUCAGCCACACUGGAACUGAGACACGGUCCAGACUCCUACGGGAGGCAGCAGUGGGGAAUAUUGGACAAUGGGCGCAAGCCUGAUCCAGCCAUGCCGCGUGUGUGAAGAAGGUCUUCGGAUUGUAAAGCCCUUUUAGUUGGGAGGAAGAGCAGUAAGUUAAUACCUUGCUGUUUUGACGUUACCAACAGAAUAAGCACCGGCUAACUUCGUG
rnacentral:rRNA from 1 species